AUGUGAGCCUACCUCUGUUUCUGAAUCUCAGA
rnacentral:rRNA from 1 species